rnacentral:rRNA from 1 species
GUGCCAGCCGCCGCGGUAAUACAGAGGUCCCAAGCGUUGUUCGGAUUCACUGGGCGUAAAGGGUGCGUAGGUGGCCAGGUAAGUUCGGUGUGAAAGCUCGGAGCUUAACUCCGAAAUGGCAUUGAAUACUAUCUGGCUAGAGGGUCGGAGGGGAGACUGGAAUUCUCGGUGUAGCAGUGAAAUGCGUAGAUAUCGAGAGGAACACCAGUGGCGAAGGCGAGUCUCUGGACGACUCCUGACACUGAGGCACGAAAGCCAGGGGAGCAAACAGGAUUAGAAACCCCCGUAGUCC